rnacentral:rRNA from 1 species
GAUGAACGCUGGCGGCGUGCCUAAUACAUGCAAGUCGAGCGAAUGGAUUGAGAGCUUGCUCUUAUGAAGUUAGCGGCGGACGGGUGAGUAACACGUGGGUAACCUGCCCAUAAGACUGGGAUAACUCCGGGAAACCGGGGCUAAUACCGGACAACAUUUUGAACCGCAUGGUUCGAAAUUGAAAGGCGGCUUCGGCUGUCACUUAUGGAUGGACCCGCGUCGCAUUAGCUAGUUGGUGAGGUAACGGCUCACCAAGGCAACGAUGCGUAGCCGACCUGGGAGGGUGAGCGGCCACACUGGGACUGAGACACGGCCCAGACUCCUACGGGAGGCAGCAGUAGGGAAUCUUCCGCAAUGGACGAAAGUCUGACGGAGCAACGCCGCGUGAGUGAUGAAGGCUUUCGGGUCGUAAAACUCUGUUGUUAGGGAAGAACAAGUGCUAGUUGAAUAAGCUGGCACCUUGACGGUACCUAACCAGAAAGCCACAGCUAACUACGUGCCAGCCGCCGCCGUAA